UUAACUCAAAUUUGUAUGGAUUUAAAACAGCUUCCCUUUGCCACUAGGGGCGCUGUUCCGACUCCAUACAAAUUUGAGUUA
rfam:Bombyx mori DNA, contig: Bm_scaf2_contig2443, strain: p50T/Dazao, build 2, whole genome shotgun sequence.